CAGAAGCCCCCUCAGACACCACCUUGGAUGGACACAGCAGUGACGGAAAGUGUCAGAGGAGCCACUCUGGUGAAUGGGCUCAGGUGGAGAGAGGUCCUGUCAAUUCUUCUGAAUGGCUCUCCAGAGACGUCCAGAGGCAUCGGUACAAAAGAGUCCUACUGAAUCGGGUCCCUGCCUGGUUUGAAACCAGCAAUAGUCCUUCCUCUCUUGGCAGUGUAUGAACACUUCUUCCCAACACCUCAGGACUGCUUCGCCCCCUCCCUUCCAUACUCCAGCAGUUCCUGGAACCUGUCAGAUCGUGUGGAGCAGGCAGCGACCAAAGGAGGCAGAUUUAAAAGGGCCGCUGAACAGGCUUUAUUGAGAUAUCACUCCCAGCGGAACUCGAUCCGACCCACAGAGGGGACAGGAGAAGGAUCUGAGGAGAAACCGUGUGGAAGCUGGACCGGACUGGACUUUCAUGGGGCUUACAGCAGGAAGGGAAGGGCUUGGGACAGGAAAAGGUGUUUCUAGAGUCUCUUGCUCCCUUGGAGUGGGUCAGGGAGUUGGCUGAACUCCAGGAUUGGCCAGGGGGUCCUGCUGAUUGACAGGCAUUUCUGCGGCAUCUGAUUGGUGUUCUUUUCAGUCUGGGGCUGCUUUGUUCAAAGUCGCCACCACCGACCUAACAGAACCCUCUGACAUUUUUAUGCUCCAGGACCCCCAUUGAACCUCUAUUUCUUCCAAGAAGCUUUUAUCCUACCCUUCCCUAUCUCCCCCUGUUUUCUUUGUUGUAUUUAUCACCAUUUGUAAUUUUCUUUGUUGACUGUUAUUACAGGUCUCCCUGAUGGAGCAGAGAGCCUCUUGGGAGCAGGUCUCACAGAGGGGUCAGUCAAUAUUUGCAAGUGAAUGAUAGAACCAAAUCCAGGCCCUCCAGACCAGCAUUUCCCCCCAACACCUGUGCUGUUCAUGAGCACAGUGUGAGCACCCACUGGAUGCCUGGCCCUGGUCUGAGAAAGGAUCCGGACAGUAGUAGCGUCAAGGUGAACAAGUGUAGGCUAUUCAUCCCCCCAGUCCACCCCCUCCCUAGCCCUCCCAGGUCCUCCUUAUCCCCACCUGUGAAGCCAGAUUUAAAGUUAGGCCGUCAGUGUAGUUAGGUAAAUCGGGUCUAAUAUCGAGCAAGAUCCAAAAUGGAGGCCAUGUUGAGAAGGAAUUCCGGGAAAAGUUGAACAACUCUUGGAAUGUUAAUGAAGUCCUGGAAAAGCCCAAGGCCAGAGCCCAACCCAAAGAAGUGUUGAUGAAACAGCCCCCAGCAAACUUGAAGAUGCUGACUCAGAAGUCCUUCCUGCCCAGAUUACUUCUUUGGCCCACCUGUGUCCCACCCCUCGGGCCUUCCCACCUACAUUCCAUCACUGAAAGAA